CCUACGGGGGGCUGCAGUGGGGAAUAUUGGACAAUGGGCGAAAGCCUGAUCCAGCCAUGCCGCGUGUGUGAAGAAGGCCUUCGGGUUGUAAAGCACUUUCAGUGGGGAAGAAAGCCUUGGGGCUAAUACCCUCGAGGAAGGACAUCACCCACAGAAGAAGCACCGGCUAACUCCGUGCCAGCAGCCGCGGUAAUACGGAGGGUGCGAGCGUUAAUCGGAAUUACUGGGCGUAAAGCGCGCGUAGGCGGUCUGAUAAGCCGGUUGUGAAAGCCCCGGGCUCAACCUGGGAAUGGCAUCCGGAACUGUCAGGCUAGAGUGCAGGAGAGGAAGGUAGAAUUCCCGGUGUAGCGGUGAAAUGCGUAGAGAUCGGGAGGAAUACCAGUGGCGAAGGCGGCCUUCUGGACUGACACUGACGCUGAGGUGCGAAAGCGUGGGUAGCAAACAGGAUUAGAUACCCUUGUAGUC
rnacentral:rRNA from 1 species